rnacentral:rRNA from 1 species
CACUGGUGGCGACCGGCGCACGGGUGCGUAACGCGUAUGCAACCUACCCAUAACAGGGGAUAACACUGAGAAAUUGGUACUAAUACCCCAUAACAUCAGGACCGGCAUCGGUUCUGGUUGAAAACUCCGGUGGUUAUGGAUGGGUAUGCGUUGUAUUAGCUGGUUGGUGAGGUAACGGCUCACCAAGGCAACGAUACAUAGGGGGACUGAGAGGUUAACCCCCCACAUUGGUACUGAGACACGGACCAA